UUCCAUUUAUAGAUUCGCUAUGAUAAGUAAAAAGAACUCUUCGAUCAUCACCAAUUCAGAAUGAGAGCUAAGUGGAAGAAGAAGCGUAUGAGGAGAUUGAAGAGGAAGCGCCAAAAGAUGAGGCAGCGAUCCAAGUAAAACCGUAUUUUUCCCUAAUCGAUCCGAGCCCCAUCUUUAGGUUUAUGCUUUAAGUUCUAGUUUAAAAUUUCAGCGACAUUUGAGUAGUGUUUUUGUCCUAAUGGCACUGAAUUGAGAUUCUGAUAUCCGUUUUUUCGUUAUAAAAUUGUGCUACUUAUUAAAAAAA
rnacentral:lncRNA from 1 species